rnacentral:rRNA from 1 species
GACGAACGCUGGCGGCGUGCCUAAUACAUGCAAGUAGAACGCUGAAGGAGGAGCUUGCUUCUCUGGAUGAGUUGCGAACGGGUGAGUAACGCGUAGGUAACCUGCCUGGUAGCGGGGGAUAACUAUUGGAAACGAUAGCUAAUACCGCAUAACAGUAGAUAUCGCAUGAUAGCUGCUUGAAAGGUGCAAUUGCACCACUACCAGAUGGACCUGCGUUGUAUUAGCUAGUUGGUGGGGUAACGGCUCACCAAGGCAACGAUACAUAGCCGACCUGAGAGGGUGAUCGGCCACACUGGGACUGAGACACGGCCCAGACUCCUACGGGAGGCAGCAGUAGGGAAUCUUCGGCAAUGGACGGAAGUCUGACCGAGCAACGCCGCGUGAGUGAAGAAGGUUUUCGGAUCGUAAAGCUCUGUUGUAAGUCAAGAACGAGUGUGAGAGUGGAAAGUUCACACUGUGACGGUAGCUUACCAGAAAGGGACGGCUAACUACGUGCCAGCAGCCGCGGUAAUACGUAGGUCCCGAGCGUUGUCCGGAUUUAUUGGGCGUAAAGCGAGCGCAGGCGGUUUGAUAAGUCUGAAGUUAAAGGCUGUGGCUCAACCAUAGUUCGCUUUGGAAACUGUCAAACUUGAGUGCAGAAGGGGAGAGUGGAAUUCCAUGUGUAGCGGUGAAAUGCGUAGAUAUAUGGAGGAACACCGGUGGCGAAAGCGGCUCUCUGGUCUGUAACUGACGCUGAGGCUCGAAAGCGUGGGGAGCAAACAGG